rnacentral:rRNA from 1 species
GUCCUUUUGAUAUUAAUUUAAGGUCUGGUCUGCCCACUGAAUUUUAAAUGGCCGUGGUAUUUUGACCGUGCUAAGGUAGCAUAAUCAUUAGUUUUUUAAUUGGAAACUGGAAUGAAGGGCUGGAUAAAAAAAUGACUGUCUCUAUUUAAUUUUAUUAGAAUUUUAUUUUUAAGUUAAAAAGCUUAAUUUUUAUUAAAAGACGAGAAGACCCUAUAGAGUUUAAUUAUUAAUUUACUAUUUUUGAUUUUAGUAUUUAAUUUAAAAUAAUAAUUUAUUUAUUUAAUUGGGGUGAUUAAAAAAUUAAAUUAACUUUUUUUGUAUAUUUACAUUAAUUUAUGAGUAUUUGAUCCAAGUGUUUUGAUUAUAAGAUAAAAUUACCUUAGGGAUAACAGCGUAAUUUUUUUUGAAAGUUCCUAUUGAAAAAAGAGAUUGCGACCUCGAUGUUGGAUUAAAGUUAAUUUUUGGUGUAGAAGCUAAAAUAUUUAGUCUGUUCGACUAUUGAAACUUUACA